GUGAAGAACGUAGCGAAAUGCGAUACUUGGUGUGAAUUGCAGAAUCCCGUGAACCAUCGAGUCUUUGAACGCAAGUUGCGCCCGAAGCCGUCAGGCCGAGGGCACGCCUGCCUGGGCGUCACACGCCGUUGCCCCCCCGCGCCCCGCACCCAACUCUUUGGGAGCGACCGCGGGGCGGGCUGAUGAUGGCCUCCCGUGCGCUCCGCCGCGCGGUUGGCCCAAAUACCGAGUCCCCGGCGACGUGCGCCACGACGAUCGGUGGUUGAGAGACCUCUGUCGCAAGUCGUGCGCGCCCGUCGCGUCACGCGGGCUCGCAUAGCGCCUCGCGCCGCACCCGGUGCGGAGCUUUCAACGCGACCCCAGGUCAGGCGGGGUUACCCGCUGAAUUUAAGCAUAUCAAUAAGCGGAGGA
rnacentral:misc_RNA from 1 species